CUUCCGCUUCCGCGCGCCCGGCCGCGCAUGCGCGCGGAUCGCUGUGAGGCGGCCCGGUGCGCCCGCGCUCCGCGGGUCUGGCUUCGUUCCUGUGCGAGGCAGCCCUCGAGUGUGGCCGCAGACUCUUUUUUUUUUUUUUUUUUUUUGAUGUUUUUAGCAGUCAUCUCUGCCCAGAGAGCAAUUAGCAGUGGCUCAGAGCUGCAGACAGCUUGUAAUGGAGGGUGAUUUCAGUGCUCCCAUCUGGGACUCACGCCUUGAGCACCCAUCGCUGAUGUGAUCUCCUGGCUACCUCAGGGCAGCCCCAUCUGCUGAGUGGCCUGGUUCCCUCUGGAAGCCGUGGGCUCUUGCCCUGCUGUGUUUUUCUGCACUGAAAUGGGCGAAUAGUGCGGUGGUCAUCACUGAUGCAGAAAGCUCUUCCUCAGUACUGACAGGUUCUUCUAAAAGCUACGUAUUAUCCUGAAAAGAGAGCACCCAACAUCUAAAGUCAGUUUGGUGUCUGGGCAGAUUUCAGGCUUUCAUUGGGACUUUUGCCCCACUCCUGCAGGCAUUCAAGGGCAGGCUGGAUGUGGCUCUGGGAAGCCUGGUCUAGUGGUUUGUGACCCUACGCAUAGCAGCGGGCUUGAAACUAGAUGAUCAUUGUGGUCCUUUUCAACCCAGGCCAUUCUGUGAUUCAUUCUAUGAUUCAUUAUGAUUUUGGCCCUUGUCCCAGAUCUUUUCUUUCAGUGUCCACUUUCUUCUGUCAUAGAGGACAAUUGUUAACAUUUCAAGCCAAAGCUGCUCCAACCUGAAAAUACACACUCAUAGCAGAAACUGGUCUGGAAGGUGAACUAAGCAUGCCUAGUAUGUGAGGGAACAGGGCUGCCUUAGGAGCUGCUAGCUACGGAUGACUGCAGGAGCAAGUAACUGAAAACAGGCUGAUGGGUUGGAACACUGAAAACGUGGGUUUACUGCUGGAAGCCCAGACAGGAUGACAGGAUGGUCAGAUGCCUCUGUAUCAAGGUUUGGAAUAUGAUUCAAGGCCUGCGUCAGCACUGCUGCAAACUGGCAGGUUUGUGCUUGCACACCCAGAGGAAGCAGGCAGAGAGCACUAGCCCUAGAUUGACCUCUUCUACAGGAGUUUGGCAGAUACUGGGGUGCAGAAAUACCAGCAACUCAGAAUAAGUUCCUAUUUUAGAAGCUGCACUGUAGGUUCUCAAAAAUAACACUUCUACUUCCUGUUCAGUCACAACAUUACAGGCAUACAGUAAAGUUGGCAAACAAAAUGAGGCUUUAAGGGAAAUACAUCAGAACUGUUGUAUUUUAUGACCCUAGACUUGCAUGUCUCACGUAUAUAGCCACUAUCAAACCUAAAGUAAAGGCCACAUUUUGAUAACUUAAGCUUUGCAUCAUGUGUGAAAAAAAGAGAUGUGUUAGUCUAGCAAACUUGGGGAAGUACUGGGGGGAGGAAAGAUAUUUUCAACAAACUUCUCAAACAUUGUUCUCAAGCCAAAAACACUAAAAGAAUUCAGCUUCAUGUAGCUUGCAAUUUCAGUGCUCUAUUCUCUACACAUUCCUUCUUCUACUGGGAAGAGUCAAUCUCAGCAGACUCUUAAGUUUGUAGAUAAUUCAUUCAUUAAUUUGAAAACUGAGCUAGUCUGUACCAGAUUUAUGAAAUAAUACGAGUAUGAGUGUAUUUGUGCUUUGAACUCAGGAAUGAUCUUGUUGGCUGUCAGCCAGAAAUGUUAUUGCUGGAGAAAUUUAAUUGUGUCUUGGGUUUGGUGCCUUCCUGAAAUCUCAGGUGUGCCCAGGGAUGGAAGAUUCUCACACAGCUGUUUAAAGUGAAAUUGUAGGAAAUCUUGGCAUCUGCAACAAGAUCAGCUGUGAAGCAUGCCUCCAAAAUGUCCUUGAAUUAUAUUUAUAUAAGCAUGUGCAGUAUAAGGGAAUAAAAGCAGUGAGUCAAGAAAAACAGUGAAUUGUACAAAUGAUUGUAGAUAGUUAAUUAAGUCGCCUAAAAUUUUGAUUUGAAUCCUCACACCCUAUCUUCACUGCCCAACAAGUCUAGCUGAAAUAAAUGAUGUUUGGAUCUAAAAUUCCUCCUAUUUGGUGCAGGUUGCUAGUAGUCCAGAAUUAUUCAAGGAAUCACAGAAUUGUUGAAUGGCUUGGUUUGGAAAGAACAAAAUCCCUUGCCAUGGGCAGUGUUUAAGUACCAUUGGACUUUUUUUUUUUUCUUCAUAUUAUUGUAGUUGCUAGAAUGGUACAAGACAGAGAUGAUAGGUACUGGAACCUGUGUAUUGUAUUACAUUGACACAGAAGGGGUUGACAUGUCUAUUAAUGUCUUUCAAACACAGAUUUUAUUGUUUAAAACAAUAUGAAUCAAUUUUUAGCUCUUUGCUUCAUGAUUUAAAAGUAUAAAACUCAAUAAAACGGUUUAAAUAUUAUACAUUCUGGAUUAUAGCAAUACAAAAAAAACCACCUGUUUCUGUUUACUCUUAAGCUGUUUUUCACUUCCUUUGUCAGAAGAGUCUUUUUACCAAAUCCAACCAAGUGGUGCACCAGCUCUCUAUUUGAAAAGUCCACCUAUAGUCUUGACCCUGUAAUGCCUGUAUUGAAUUUUAUCUAUAAAUACAAAACUGCAUUAAGGAUCUCACACAUAUGUUUAAAGAUAUGAUCACUAAGUGUCCAAAAGGCCCAAUUUGCCCCUUUUCAAAACUCGCUGAAAAAAAAAUCCCAUCAACUUCAAGGUAGAAGAGAGCAGGCUUCUUAAUUCUUGGUUAAAUUUUACCCUAAUCCACCUGAAAGAAAAAGCAUACGUAUAAGGCAUUUUUUAUUAUGUGUUUGAAGCGUGGCUUAGUGCCCAUACAACCUUAGUUUCGGCUGGAAGCUUCACUUUGUACAUGACUCAAAUGAUUUUAUUACUGCAGUAUAUGGAUGGAUCUUCCUACAGCUCUUCGCAAAGAGUAAACCAUAUUGUAAGCAACAGAUAUGAUGCAAAUAAUAUAAGGAUGUUACUGCCAACGCUUGGUUAAAAAUUAAAUUGGUGGUACUGGAAUGAACAUUCCGGACAGGUGUAUCUACAGUCAAAUGGUGUGGAUUACUGGUGCAGUGCAAAUGUUAACAAGGAAUGCGUAAUAACUUAGUAAGAUGUAUAUCACAGAACCACAAAAUCACAGGGGCUUGAAGGGACUUCUGGAGAUCAUUGAGUCCAACCCACUGUUAAAGCAGGUUCCCUACAAUAGGUCACACAGGAAAGCAUCUGGUUGGGUUUCGAGUAUCUCAAGAGAAGGAGGCACCACGACCUCUGGGCAGCCUGUUCCAGUGCUCUGUCACCCUCAGGGUGAAGAAGUUUUUUCUCAUGUUUUUAUGGAACUUACUGUGUUCCAGUUUGUGCCCCUUACCACUUGUCAUGUUGCUGGGCACCAUCAAAAAACAGCCUGGCCCCAUCCACUUGAUUCCUGCCCACUAGAUGUUUAUAAGCAUUUGUAAGAUUGCCUCUCAGUCUUCUCCAGGCUGAACUGCCCCAGGUCUCUCAGGCUUUCCUCAUACAGAACAUACUCCAGGACCCUAGUCAUCUCUGUGGCCCUUCGUUGGACUCUCUUUAGAAGUUACCUGUCUUUCUUGAACUGAGGAGCCCAGAACUGGGCACAAUACUCCAGAUGUGGCCUCACCAGGGCAGAGUAGAGGGGAAGGAUCACCUCCCUUGACCUGCUGGUCAUGCUUAUUUUUAACACACCCAAGAAUACUUGGUUAUCCCUCUCAGCCACAAGGGCACACUUCUGGCUUAUAAGUAUAUGUUUAGAUGUUAAGCUGUUAGUAUUGCUUUUGCUGUUCUAUAUCCUGCAUCAUAUAGCAAAAAAGAAGCAAAACAAUGCCAACAGAUCACUCUGCAACCUAAAAUCAGAAAACAGAGCUCUGAUCUACUCUAGGUUAAACCAGUUCCUGAAUUUUCCACUUUGAUUUUACCUAAUGAUCUUCUUGGAGACAAAAGCUGUGUGCCAGCUCUAGUUCUACCAGGGUUAGCGCUCAGUUCAGUACCAAGUUGUAGAUGUUUUUCAAGGGACGAAUUUGGGACAAAAUGGGUCUUAAUACAUCAGGGUACAGUUUGUUCUGUAUUUGCACACAGGCUAAAGCUGCUUUGGAGUCAGCUGUGUGCAUAACCAUGCAGGUAGCAGGAUCUGUCCUCAGCUUCUCCAUUCCGCCAUGAGUCUGCUUGCACUACAGGAGAGCAUCCCAGCUCAGAAAGUGAGUUAGGACAAUCACUCUGGAGUUAAAAAUAGCAAGUAUUUAUGUGCCUCUUUGAUGACAUCAACUGCAUAGACUUAAUAGCUGACAACAGUCCGAACUGGGCACAUUAUCAUUAUAUCCCACAUACAGUUCAUCUCAGAUUUCUACAAAAAGCAACCCUUUUUGUAUAAAAUAUCCUUUAUAAAAACUUGUUUUCCUGCCUGAUUACCCUUUCAUGUAAGCAUAGCACAUGUUUUCACUGUGUUUUGGUUGCUGAAUCUUGUGGCUAAAUGCAGCAGUGUCUUUCAAGUAGGCUUUGAUUUGUCUUCAUAGUCACAUUUUAUUCAGGACAUUCUGCUUUCACUAGAAAUAGUCACCAUGAAUGUUUGCCCAUUUUUUAAAACACUGUCAGGUCUAUAGAUGAUAAGUGCUAUGCAAAUGCAAAGUGGUAUUAUUCAUUUGUUUCAGAGCCGGAGUUUAUUCAGUUAUUAUGGACAUAAACUGAGUAAUUAGUUGCACUGCCAGUUGAUGCCUAAAAAUAAUUCUUAGGCAGGGUUUGAAUUACUUGCCUUCUGUUGAGCUAAAUAAUCUCAUCAUAGCAUGAUUGAUGAUUAAAUCAUUAAAAUGGAUUUUAUAUUUCAUAGUUCAGUAUCUUUCAUUUUAGAAACACAUUCUAUGCAGACAAACUUGUAUCCAGAUACAUCUUUUACAGAACCCGUAUGAAGACCUCAGAACUAAUGAAUUAGCACUGUGCAGUUUAUUCUCCAAUUAUUGCACUUAUCAAAGAAAGCCAUCUGUGGUCUUUGUUUUACUCAGUUUCAGGGAAACAGAUCACAUACAGUCCUCACGGGGAAGUUAUAAUUAUGAAACCAAAAGCCUUUUAUGAGGUACAAUAUGAAAGAACAGACAAUAAAUCUGUUUAAUUUUGAACGUUCAACCUAAGUACUGUACAUUAUGAAUUUCACCUUUCCUCUAUUCAGAGUCCUCUGUUACGCUGCUUCUUUCUUCUCUGAUUUUAUACCUUUCCAUUCACAUUUUCCAUUCUCUAUGCUACACAAACGGAGCUAGAAUCCAAGUUUAAAAUUGUCACUACAAUUUAGAUGCAAAAUGUUCAGUUUGUGUCCAGCAGAGCUGGGAUAAAUCUGUUGUUUUUUUAAGUGUUGACUCAUUGCUCUAACAGAAAGGGACAGUUUACUCUCUAAUUCUCAACCUGGAAGAUUUGGGGCAGGUUCCCACCUCUGAAGCACUUCCUGAAUCAUACCGGUACGUAGGUACCACAUAAUUGAGAGCAUACCAAAUUCCAAACUCAGGUUGAGGGGCCGUAUUUGACAGAUCCUUGAUUGCCUUAGCUUGUUAUGCCAUGGGACUGUGAGCCAAAGGGAAAGGGGAAAAUUCAGUCUUCAGGAAAACACACCUUCCUUCUUGGAUUGCCGUGAGUAAUUUGUAAGAGAUGUGGUGAUUCACUUUGACAACACCAAAAAAAAAAAAAUGUUUCUAGCAUAAUCCAACAAAAAAGUUGCAAGUAUGCUUUAUUUCACUAGUGUAAAAAUGUAUGAAGGCUUCUCUGAAAGUUUCGUCCGUAUGCAUGAUAAUAGUAUCCCUUGUUUAUUCUGUUUAGAUCCAGUUAUUUAGAGAUCAUGUUUCUAGACUUCUGCUGACUUCUCAGCUCUACAAAAAAUAAACAAACAGUGGUUAAGCAGUGAAGAUAGAGUAGCAAAGAUGUCGAAAUCAUAAGCAGCAUAGUUUCCUGUAAUAAAUGAGAAGUGAAAUCUGCGUCUCUUCCACAAGGGUGACUGAAGGUUACUGAGGAACAAUGGCUUUUUUUCUACAUUACAGUUUAAAUGAAAAAUCAUAUUAAAAUUGUAUGGACUGGCAA